UUACUUUUGAAGCUUAAUGGGAUGUGAUGU
rnacentral:piRNA from 1 species